ensembl:lncRNA
UUUUUUUUUAAUUUUUAAAUUACUCAAUGAAUUUUAUUACAUUUAUAGUUACACAACAAUCAUCACGACCCAACUUUGGCAUUUCCAUCCCAAAAGAGAGUGGAUAAUUCUGAUGAAAAAUCCAAGCAAGCGCACAUUCCCCUGUGGCACCGUGGUAGCUCAGGUAGCUGCUGUUGCGAGAGUUCAGUACCUGGCCCAGGAACUUCUGCAUGCUGUGGAUGCGGGGGGGAAAAAAAAAUCCAAGCAAAAAUGAUUAGAGCUCACAACCCCCAUUGUAGUUGGUGUCACCUGUCAGGGGUCCUGCAGGAAAACACUGCCACCUGGCGACCCAGGACAUGAAAAGCACAGUUGAACGCUGAUCAUACUUUCUCGUCUCAGCUGAAAGUCAAGUCUCUUGAAACUCACCCUAGAACUGGUUAGUUUUCAGAAAACAAUGCUAAAAAGGCUAUAAAUGGUCUAUUAUCGGGCACGAAGGCAAGCCAGCAACUGGGAGCAAGGGCUUCAUCUCAAGAACACCAGCUUGCUGGGAGAACUGGGGCCUCUUGAUCUCCCUGGGGCUGGUCCCUUCCUUUACUUCACCUUAUAGGGUAAUUGCCAGGACCUCAGUCCCAGAAUGAGGUCUGAGAACAGCCUGAUCUCACAGCAAAGGCAGCAGUGAAAUGACAACACAAUGGAUGCGGCCACUCCACAGUUCUCUGAAUAUAACAGGCCUGGGCAGGUCCCUGGGUUCUCUGGCUUGAAGAUGAACCAUGCCUGGGCCAGGCAAGGCCACAAUGGUUCAAAGAAAUAGUGUGUGAGCCGGUAAAAAUCUGACAGAGGGGACACGGAUUAGAGGUCGUGCAGGCAUGGAUGUUGCUGGUGACACAGGGAGAGGGGCUGCUCAAUGCGCCCUUCCAGAGAAGCAGCCGUUAGUAACCACGUAGGAAGUAGACAAUGGGAGAGCAUCUCCAGUGAACUUGUAAGUUCAGAGGUGUGCCCCUCCACACACCAAAGGCUCCUCCGUGACACGUUGAAACGUGGAUAUUUGCAGUGACGCAGGGAACACUCCAGGGAGGGACAAAAUGGUGGGAAAAUUUUUAUCUCCAACAGAGGAGACCUUAUGGAUGAUACUCUGAUAUUCAGAAAACCCGGAGCCAAGCUACUUGAAUGUGGAAGGUCUAUCUGGAGGCUUUUAUUUUAUUUUAUUGCUUUUUGGCUGCCUGGUGUCAUAUCGAGUUUCCGGGGCAGGGGUCAGAUCCGAGCCUCGGUUGCAGCUGCGGCAAGGCCAGAUCCUUUAACCCCCUGGGCCAGGCGGGGGAUCGAACCUGUAUCCUGGCACUGCAGAGAUGCCUGCAGGUCCCAUUGAACCACACUGGGGGACCCCGUGUGGAGGCUUUUAAAGUUGAGAGUGUAAGUGAUUCUUUCACUGGAAGAGACAAGAAUUUGGUGCCACAAUAACUUUUCCAGGUCCCUAAGGUCAGCGUCUGAGCCCCAAGUGCACAGCCCAGGCAGUAUUUCCCACGGACUCCACGUGACUCUGAGGGACCAAAGCUCUGGGAGCAUCUUCUUGGGGCGGGUGGUUCCCAAUGCUGCACUUGGGACCAGCUUUUGUUCGCUCUGAUCUGGACCUGCUCCAGAGUCUGUGGAUCAGUGGAAGUACAUUAAACCAUACAGCUCCCCCUCAGGGUACUGAAUUUCAGGGGAUUUAACUUAUCUGAACAUUUCACUUGUGAAAAGGCUUUUUUCUGAGCCCUUUAGCUGGGUCAAGGACGCUGAAGCACCAGUUAAAAGAAAGAACAAGGAGGCGUCACCAAAGACUUUGGGGGUUGUUUGCAACCAGGCUUGAAUUGUUUCACAAGCCCUGGCCUAAUUUCCGCAACGCUUUCAGCUCUGAGGAUGAAAGGCAUUCCAGAGCUGAAAAGGAUUCUGUGGGGGCCAGAGCUGGGACUGUCAGUGGCAACGCCAGCUGUCCACUGCCUCCUGACAAGCUUACGAAAGGGCCUUUCAUCCACUUACACUCUGUUAACAGUCACCCGUGGAAAGGGGAGCUUUUGUUUCCAUAAAGAAAUAUAAUGAGAGGGACCUGAAUGGUGACAAAGAGGUAAAAGAGGAGGCGGUUCCAAAAUGUCAGGCUGGCUGACCUGAAGGGGGAACUGGGAGAAGGUGGGGAGGAGGUGGGGGAGGAGGUGUAGGGUUUGUGUGGCAGCUCAAUAACCUGGGGAGCUUAAAUUUUUUUUUAAUUGUGGUUAAAUAUACAAAACAUAAAAUUUACCAUCUUAAUCAUCUUUCAGUGUGUGGUUCAGUGUUCCUGAGUACAUCCAAGAGCUUGUGCAACCGUUGCCACCAUCUCUCUCCAGAGCUUUAACGUUUUUCAGUUUGUUUCAUGUAGAUUUUUUUUUUUUCCGAGAAAGCCAUUAAAAAGAAUGAAGUCAAUGUUAUACGCCAAUGUGUUAAGAAGUUAAGAAUACAUUGAGCAGUUGCUCUUGUGGCUCAGUGGGUUAAGGAUUCGGCGGCGUUGCCCCAAGCUUCAGUGCAGGUUGUGGAUAUGGCUGGGAUCUGGCGUUGCUGUGGCU